rnacentral:rRNA from 1 species
AUUGAACGCUGGCGGCAGGCCUAAUACAUGCAAGUCGAGCGAGCGGCGGACGGGUGAGUAAUGUCUGGGAAACUGCCUGAUGGAGGGGGAUAACCACUGGAAACGGUAGCUAAUUCCGCAUACCAUCAGAUGUUCCCAGAUGGGAUUGGCUAGUAUGUCGGGUAACGGCUCACCUAGGCUACGAUCCCUAGCUGGUCUGAGAGGAUGACCAGCCAAACUGGAACUGAGACACGGUCCAGACGCCUACGGGAGGCAGCAGUGGGGAAGAUUGCACAAUGGGCGCAAGCCUGAUGGAGCAAUGCCGCGUGUGUGAAGAAGGCCUUCGGGUUGUAAAGCACUUUCAGCGGGGAGGCGUUACCUGCAGAAGAAGCACCGGCUAACUCCGUGCCAGCAGCCGCGGUAAUUC